GCUGAUGCAGCAACGCCGCGUGUGCGAUGAAGGUCCUUCGGGUACGUAAAGCUACUUUUCUGAGAGAUGAGCAAGGACAGUAUCUCAGGAAUAAGUCUCGGCUAACUACGUGCCAGCAGCCGCGGUAAAACGUAGGAGGCGAGCGUUAUCCGGUAUUCACUGGGCGUAAAGCGCGUGCAGGCGGUUCGGUAAGUUGGGUAUGAAAUCUCCUGGCUUAACUAGGAGAGGUUAUCCAAUACUACCGGACUUGAGAGUGGUAGAGGAAGAUGGAAUUCCCGGUGUAGUGGUGAAAUGCGUAGAUAUCGGGAGGAACACCAGUGGCGAAAGCGAUCUUCUGGACCAUUUCUGACGCUCAGACGCGAAAGCUAGGGUAGUAAACGGGAUUAGAGACCCCGGUAAUCCUAGCCGUAAACGAUGUAAAACUUGGCGUCGGUGGCUUAAACACCAUCGGUGCCGCAGCUAACGCGAUAAGUUUACCGCCUGGGGACUACGAUCGCAAGAUUAAAACUCAAAGGAAUUGACGGGGGC
rnacentral:rRNA from 1 species